rnacentral:rRNA from 1 species
CGUCAAAUCAUCAUGCCCCUUAUGUCUUGGGCUACACACGUGCUACAAUGGCGUCUACAAAGGGAAGCGAAGUCGUGAGACUAAGCAAACCCCAAAAAAGACGUCUCAGUUCGGAUUGUAGUCUGCAACUCGACUACAUGAAGCUGGAAUCGCUAGUAAUCGCAAAUCAGCAUGUUGCGGUGAAUACGUUCUCGGGCCUU